UACGAACUGUGCGAACGUUAUUCGGAAUCACUGGGCUUACAGGGUGCGUAGGCGGCUUGUUAAGUAGGGUGUGAAAGCCCCCGGCUCAACCGGGGAAUUGCGCCCUAAACUGGCGAGCUGGAGUGAGAUAGGGGUGUGUGGAACUUCCAGUGGAGCGGUGAAAUGUGUUGACAUUGGAAGGAACGCCAGUGGCGAAAGCGACACACUGGGUCUCAACUGACGCUGAGGCACGAAAGCCAGGGGAGCAAACGGG
rnacentral:rRNA from 1 species